AAAAAAUGUUUUUACAGGGACGCCAAACGACUUUAGUUGGGCGUCAUGAUGUCCUUAGUUCAUUUUUUUUAGAGAGCGACCGUGUUAAGGAGCGGGCUCAGGCUCCGGCGGCAGCGGGAGGGGCCGGAACGGGCACGGUGGUAGAGGGACGGGCAGGAAAGGGCCGCCGCGCGCGCGGGCGGCGGGACGAUCGCAAGGUAAGUGAGGAAAAAGUUUCCCUCUUUUUUUGUACUUGUCUGUACUCCUGCCUGAGAAGGAGCGGAGACCUAGGAUAUGCGAGUUAGGCGACGGCCGGCGACGGCCCCUAGCGUAGUGGGCCGUGGUGGCAAGGCGAAGUCGAGGAGAGUGGUCGCGCGGGCUCGAGGAAGAGAGGGACGGAAUCCUUGGUUCAGAACACGGACACGAUUUUAAAGUCUAAUUUUAAUUAUCAGGGUGGACGAGAUAAUGUAUUUUAGGUUGGUUGAAUAAAGUACGUAAUGUUCUAGUUGUUCGGUUGUUUUUCGCCUACUCUACAAGUACAAAUGGGAUCUCUUUAGUUCUUUCGACGGACGGCGUAGAUGAUAUACGCAGUGGUUAACUUUUACUCGUUUCUCCUCUACGUGUACUUACGCAGUGGUUAACUUUUACUCGUUUCUCCUCUACGUGUACUUAGGUUUCUUUUCGUGGUAAGCCACGGUUCGGAUUAUCUUUCUUUACAGAAUCGAAUUAACGGUAAACUCGAUUAUUAGGAUUUCUUCCUCUCUCUCGGCUUGACUUCUAUGUCUCUUUUAACUACGGGUAACGACCAUGUCUCUGGUCGAGUACCUUCUCUUUUGGCCCCGGAUCCCCGAAAGUGGCCUCCGUUGAAGCCGUGAGGGUGUAGGCACCGGUGGCCGUCUGCUCGUGGUGGUGGUCUGGCGGGGGGCGCGCACGACCGGUCGGCGGUCUAGACCGCGUUGGCUCGGGGUCACGCGGCUGCUCGUCAGGUGGUUGCGGGGUCGGCAUCGGUCUUUCGUGCCGCUGCGACAGUCGACCCUACACCGAGUCCGGUCGGUGGCGCCGGUUCUUAUCCUUUCGUUGUGAACCCACCACUCCGCCUACCUCUUCUCCUCUUCUCCUCCUCCUCGUUGCUACCCACCAGUCCGUCGUCCUCCUUCUACCUCCGACUCGCCGCGAACCCACUACUCCUUACCGCUGCACAACACCUAUUCUUCCCUGUGGGUCACCCGCCACUGUAGCCACCCCUAAACC
rnacentral:rRNA from 1 species